UGCGUAGGUGGUGAGGUAAGUCGGAUGUGAAAUCUCCGGGCUCAACCCGGAAAUGGCAUUGGAAACUACCUUGCUGGAGGAUUUGAGGGGGGAGUUGGAAUACUUGGUGUAGCAGUGAAAUGCGUAGACAUCAAGUGGAACACCAGUGGCGAAGGCGAAUCCCUGGAAAAUACCUGACACUGAGGCACGAAAGCUAGGGGAGCAAACA
rnacentral:rRNA from 1 species